rnacentral:piRNA from 1 species
UGCUUUUGAUGUUGGACAAAGAUUGU